rnacentral:rRNA from 1 species
AACAAACGCUGGCGGCGUGCCUAACACAUGCAAGUCGUACGAGAAAGGGUCCUUCGGGGCCUGAGUAAAGUGGCGCACGGGUGAGUAACGCGUGGAUAAUCUGCCCUUCAGUUGGGAAUAACUCAUCGAAAGGUGGGCUAAUACCGAAUAAUGCUGUGAGACCUCGGUUGAUCAGCCAAAGAGAGCCUCUGCUUGCAAGCCCUCGCUGAAGGAUGAGUCCGCGUACCAUUAGCUAGUUGGUAGGGUAAUGGCCUACCAAGGCGACGAUGGUUAGCUGGUCUGAGAGGACGAUCGGCCACACUGGAACUGAGACACGGUCCAGACUCCUACGGGAGGCAGCAGUGAGGAAUCUUGCGCAAUGGGGGCAACCCUGACGCAGCAACGCCGCGUGAGUGAGGAAGGUCUUCGGAUCGUAAAGCUCUGUCGGAUGGAAAGAACCGCAUAGGGGUAAACAGCCCCUGUGUCUGACGGUACCAUCAAAGGAAGCACCGGCUAACUCCGUGCCAGCCGCCGCCGUAAAAC